UGCGGUGUAGGGUGGUGGAGGUUGGUGCAAUACAAUAGCUUUCCGGAAAACGACUCCAUUGGGGUACAUGGAUCGUCGAGUUCCUUUUUUCGGGAUUUUGAGCUCUCAACCGUCAGAAAAUCCUGAAUGGAUCAAAACUUUUCUUUUCUUUUUUUUUUUUUUGGGCAAAGAAAAUUCCCAGCACAUCUGGGAAGCAAUUUUGGUUGAACUCUUGUCAAUUGGCUUGUCAAAGUCAAAACAGGCGCUUCUUUCUGGAUGCUCAGCCGGCGGGUUGGCAACUCUUAUACACUGUGAUGACUUUCGAGGUCUUCUACCUAGGGAUUCAAGGAUUCAACUGUCAAAUGUCAUGCUGAUGCAGGUUUUUUUUUCUUGAUGAGAUUUAGCAAAAAGUUUGCACAAGGAUUGUGUUGCAAGAAAGGAACCAGCUAAGGUUGGUGUAUGUUUCACUGAUCAAAUUUGAGAGGUCCCUAGUUUUCUGCUCAGUAUGAUACUAUGAUGCGUACCAGUAAUCUCCUAUUAUUUUUGUGGCAGUGUCUCUUUCCUGAAAAAAUUAUUAAACACGUUAGCAGACAAUUGCAGAGUCUGUGGGUGAUUGGUACUUUAAUCGAACUCUUGCAAAGCAAAUUGACUGCCCAUUUCCAUGCAAUCCCACCUGUUAUCAUAUGAAUUUCACUCAAUUUUCACGAGGUUGAUUGGGCUCGAGAAUACAUCCCACUUAUGAUUGGUCAUUCCCAAGUUUAGACCUCUACGAUCUCAGUAUACCCUGGUGGAAAUAUUCCCUAGUGGUCCAGAGCCUGUAGAUACUGAUAUGAUAACAAAGGUGUGUAGAAAAGAACAGUUUAUAUUUGAUAUAACGUCUUUAGAACGAGGAGAAAAAAUUUCUGUAUAUUUUACAUUGCAGAGUCAGUGUUAACCAGAUGGAUGGCAUUUGCUUUGAAUCUCUUUUGUAUCUUGAUUAGCUGAAAAGGAAUUGUUCCUAUACUGGAUUUGACCGAUUUGUAGCAACUUCUCUGUUUCAACUCUUUUUGG